UCUGGAUCUGGGUAGGAGCAGAUCAGUGAGGGGAACAGUUCAGGGAGGAAUGUCAGAAGGCAUGGGGGAUGAUAUGGACGUAGAGCAGAGGAGGGAUGGCAGUUUGGGAGUUAGCAUGUCAGAAGAGGGAAUGGAAGAGUCCCAAGGAGGCACUCAGGCCUCGGGAUUUGUUCAGCCACCCCACUACCCACACUUCUCACAAAAUCCCGGGUAUUCGAUGGGAG
rnacentral:lncRNA from 1 species